rnacentral:rRNA from 1 species
CCGAGGAGUCCUGGCCGUUCGCGAGUCGUAGGGGCCCCCUCUGACUAACCCCGAAGGCGUAGCGAAAGCGAGAGAGCGUGUUGGAGGGCGUCGACCGGGAGAGGUGUCGUGGCGAAGUCGUGCAGGGGUCGUCGGGGGAAAAGCGGCUUCGGUCGUUUCUUUUCUCGCCUCACCUGCCCUCCGAGCCGUGCCCGAUCCCGCCGGCGCGGUGUCUUGUCUUCUGCGUCGCCCUCUCGUCGCGCAUGUUGCCCGGCAACGGGCGACGACGCGCGGCGACGACGUGCGUGGUUGUUUCCCUCCUGCCCGAGAGGGCAUCGGUUCCAUGGGAAUUGCGGGGCAUCAGCUUCUAUCCUCCUACCGCCCAUCGGUGAGAUCCCGCGGCUUGAACUAGUCCUAUUUUGUCGUCGAGUUUAGGCACUGCACGCGGGCGCAUCACCCCCGGGUCGGCGGUGAAAACCAUUCCGAGUACGACUCGGCCGACUCUGGCGUAGCGAGCGGCCAGGGACCCGAAAGAUGGCGAUCCACGCCCGGUCGGGAUGAAGCCAGAGGAAACUCUGGUGGAAGUCCGAAGCGCCUCUGACGUGCAAAUCGAUCGUCGGAACCGGGUGUAGGGGCGAAAGACCAAUCGAGCCGUCUAGUAGCUGGUUCCCUCCGAAGUUUCCCUCAGGAUAGCUGGCGCUCGAUCGUCGCAAUUCCAUCCGGUAAAGCGAACGAUUGGAGGCCCCGGGGCCGUUCACGGCCUCGACCUACUCUCGAACUCGGAACGGGUGGAACGGGCCGACUCUCCAGAACAACGGAGCCGACCCACAUUUUCCCGUCGCGCAGCUCGCGUGA